UGAGGAAUAUUGGUCAAUGGGCGCAAGCCUGAACCAGCCAUGCCGCGUGAAGGAUGAAGGCCCUAUGGGUUGUAAACUUCUUUUAUACGGGACGAAACUACUUUACGUGUAGAGUACUGACAGUACCGUAAGAAUAAGCAACGGCUAACUCCGUGCCAGCAGCCGCGGUAAUACGGAGGUUGCAAGCGUUAUCCGGAUUUAUUGGGUUUAAAGGGUGCGUAGGCGGGAUAAUAAGUCAGUGGUGAAAUUCUGUCGCUUAACGAUAGGACUGCCAUUGAUACUGUUAUUCUUGAGUAUAGUUGAGGUGGGCGGAAUGUGUAAUGUAGCGGUGAAAUGCUUAGAUAUUACACAGAACACCGAUUGCGUAGGCAGCUCACUAAACUACAACUGACGCUCAGGC
rnacentral:rRNA from 1 species